UGGGGAAUAUUGCGCAAUGGGCGAAAGCCUGACGCAGCGACGCCGCGUGAGGGAUGAAGGUUUUCGGAUCGUAAACCUCUGUCAGAAGGGAAGAAACCGCACUGUGCUAAUCAGCAGUGCCUUGACGGUACCUUCAAAGGAAGCACCGGCUAACUCCGAGCCAGCAGCCGCGGUAAUACGGAGGGUGCAAGCGUUAAUAGGAAUUACUGGGCGUAAAGCGCACGUAGGCUGCUUUGUAAGUCAGGGGUGAAAUCCCACGGCUCAACCGGGGAACUGCCUUUGAUACUGCUUAGCUUGAAUCCGGGAGAGGGUGGCGGAAUUCAAGGUGUAGGAGUGACAUCCGUAGAUAUCUGGAGGAACAUCAGUGGCGAAGGCGGCCACCUGGACCGGUAUUGACGCUGAGGUGCGAAAGCGUGGGGAGCAAACAGG
rnacentral:rRNA from 1 species